GAAUUAAAAAUUUGCUGUUGCAGUAGCUUAAAUAUUAUUUCAGUUCUUGGAGUGGCUAAUUGUAGGUUAUGUAAGUUCCUAUGAUUAAAUUGCAUCAAAAACAAAAUAUGUAAUGAAUGCCUGAAUUAGUAUGUUGAGAACAUUUCUUUUCAGGAUAUGUGACAAUGAGUUUUAGCUUUGAUUAGAAAACUUCUGGGCCGGGCGCGGUGGCUCAAGCCUGUAAUCCCAGCACUUUGGGAGGCCGAGACGGGCGGAUCACGAGGUCAGGAGAUCGAGACCAUACUGGCUAACACGGUGAAACCCCCUCUCUACUAAAAAAUACAAAAAAAAACUAGCCGGAUGCGGUGGCAGGCGCCUGUAGUCCCAGCUACUCGGGAGGCUGAGGCAGGAGAAUGGCGUGAACCCGGGUGGCGGGCGCCUGUAGUCCCAGCUACUUGGGAGGCUGAGGCAGGAGAAUGGCGUAAACCCAGAGACGGAGCUUGCAGUGAGCCGAGAUCACACCACUGCACUCCAGCCUGGGCAACAGAGCGAGACUCCAUCUCAAAAAAAAAAAAAAAAAAGAAAAAGAAAAAAUGCUUACAUGACUAAAUUCUCCUAUUUUACAUGCCUUAAUAUAUUCUGGAUGGUGAGUCAUUUUAUUUUUUUCAAGAGAAAAUUGUUUGAAUAUGAAAACCGUACAAAACCUUUGAAUGUCAAGUUGCAAAAGGUGGCAUGAAAUACUGAAAUGAAGAUGUGCAAUCAUCCCAUCACUGGCUUUCAAAGAAAUAGGUAGAAAAAAAAAAUCUCAGCUAGGCCCAGCUCCUCCCUUGUUAAUAUGUAUAUGCUGGUAUCUGGAGAAAAUACCGCAGGACCCCACUUGUGUACAGGAGGGAUAAGAAUAUUAGGGGUGAAGAGGAGAUCUAGGCACAGAAGGCAAUGGACCUGAGCAUUCCCAGAACCUCAGCUUUCCUGACCUGAGCCUUUGAGCCAAAUGUACAUUUCUGAGAACCCUGGUUCCAUUUAAUUCACUAAAUCUACUUUUAAGUAAUCACUGUAGGUGGGUAAAUGUCCCAGGUAUAACCACCUUUACAAAGAGGAGGGAAAAAGCUCUUAGAUUUGGCGGCAUAUUAAGGAUCAUAAACUUAUACCUAUACCACCUAUAAAACAGGCUGAAAGUACUAGAAGAGAGUUACUAAGAGGUCAGUGUAGUCAAGUGAAAAGGACAUAACAUCCACUGAUAGGAAAUCAAGACACGGUAUAAAGACAGUAGCUGG
rnacentral:lncRNA from 1 species